UCUAUCCAAUGUUACACAAUCAUAUAUAGAGUAAGUUUUUAUUGCAAAUCAUGAUUUAUUUUAUUACUAUAAAACUAAAUCCUUAACUGUAUUUAUGUAAGUCCCCACUCGAUUUUACCAUUGUAUUCUGAAAGAUUGUUUGGUGAAUCUGCCUCUUAAACCAUUGAUGUGUAGCAUGAUAAUAUGGUUAAGCUAUUCUAAUGUGAUAUCAGGAAAUCAAUUAUCUUGUUUACUGCAUGGGUUUGCGUUCUUUCCGGGUC
rnacentral:lncRNA from 1 species